rnacentral:rRNA from 1 species
UACGUAGGGUGCAAGCGUUGCCCGGAUUUAUUGGGCGUAAAGAGCGCGUAGGCGGUCCGAUAAGUCGGCUGUGAAAGUCAGGGGCUCAACCCUUGGAAGCCGGCCGAUACUGUCGGACUAGAGUCCGGAAGAGGCGAGUGGAAUUCCUGGUGUAGCGGUGAAAUGCGCAGAUAUCAGGAGGAACACCCGUGGCGAAAGCGGCUCUCUGGGACGGUACGGACGCUGAGACGCGAAAGCGUGGGGAGCAAACAGG